rnacentral:rRNA from 1 species
AACGAACGCUGGCGGCAGGCCUAACACAUGCAAGUCGAGCGCCCUGCAAGGGGAGCGGCGGACGGGUGAGUAACGCGUGGGAAUUUUUCCUGGAGUACGGAACAACCGAGGGAAACUUCGGCUAAUACCGUAUGAUGCCGAGAGGCCAAAGAUUUAUCGCUCUGGGGUGAGCCCGCGUCAGAUUAGGUAGUUGGUGGGGUAAAGGCCUACCAAGCCUGCGAUCUGUAGCUGGUCUGAGAGGACGAUCAGCCACACUGGGACUGAGACACGGCCCAGACUCCUACGGGAGGCAGCAGUGGGGAAUCUUGCGCAAUGGGCGAAAGCCUGACGCAGCCAUGCCGCGUGAGUGAAGAAGGUCUUAGGAUUGUAAACCCCUUUCGGGAGGGAAGAUGGAACGGGCAAUCGUUCGGAC